UAUUCGUACCCUACUCGGAUC
rnacentral:piRNA from 1 species